rnacentral:lncRNA from 1 species
CUUGGAAGCCAAGAGUAUAACUGACCCUCAGCCCAGUUUCUUUUCAGCAUAGACAAAUACCUCUGUCCCUUCUGCUGAUUUACAUGGUAGGUUUAUUUAAUUAGUCAGAGGUAAAGCCAAAGUGCAGCUUGUCCUCAGAGUCAAUUAAUAUUUACGGAGUUACCCACAGUGCAUGACGCCAAGGCUGCUGUAUGUUAUCUGUAUCAGCGUAGGGAGCAGACUUCACCCCCUUGAUCCUGGCAUGAGCAGGGAACAAGAGCCAAGGAGGAGUGUCUGACGGGUCUCUGAGCCACUGUGAGGAAUGAGAACAUCCUAAGUCUGCGAUCAUGCUAACCACAGCCCUGGUGCACAGGAGACUUAGAGACUGAUGGCUGUGUUCAUAAUUUAAAAAACAAAAAAACCAAAAAGGAGUGGCAGAGAAGGUGGCUAGAAGAUCAUGUCCCUCUCUGGGGCGGAUUCGAUGGGACAGAGGUGUAAUGGGAACAGAAGCUACAGGGGACACGUGCCCUCAGCUGUAUUCGCUAAGCAUCACCCAUGAGUAAGUGAGGUAAAGAUCUUCCUGCUUUUCACCUAGUCCUUCCCAGGAGAAGGAGCACGGAGUGACUGAUGCUGGAGGAGGUCAGGCCUCACGAGUAAACAGACUCACUUUAGCUGUGGCUUGGCUGCAAAAGAAAGAAAACCUGGCCUGGGCAAAAGAGCACUAGAAUGUGUGGUCCUAUAGGCCAUAGCCCCUCUUCCCUCCCCUUGCCCUCUUCUGUGUAUUCGAGAACCACACUUUUAUCCUGAAGCCUUUAUGCCUGCCACUUUUCCUAGAUGGUACUUCAUUGGGCUCUUAGCCAGAGCUAGCCCUCACUCAUGGAGUGUCCGGACAAAGCCAUUACUGUGACAGGAUCUUGCCCUAGUGCUUGCCCUCUUGGUGUCCUCCUGGACUGCCAUACCUGACAAGUAUCUCACAGCUUACCCUAACUUUCAGUGUUAGGUGGCAUGGGAGUUCCAUGCUCCAAGCUGCCUUUAUGGGUGUUAGUUCAGAAAUGGCAGCUCUUGACUCUUCUGGAGCCUCCACUCCCUUCCCCAUGGAAGUGACAGCGCAGCCAGAUGUGUCUGGCAUUUUCAGAUGGACUGCUGGGUUUGACCUAUCGGGGUCAGGUUGUAGGGGUUACCAUGAGGCAGCCCCCUCCCCCAGGCAUGGACAGGCUCUUCAGGAAGCCACGAUCAAGUAAGUAGACCUGCGGCUGAAAUAAGACUCAGUGGUAAGUCUGUCUCAAGGCCAGAAAAAUGGCUUCUUAAGUCAAAGAAUGGAGUGUGAUUAGCCUGAGACCUUCCCCACCCAGGUUUCGACAGGAACGCACAGGAAAGCCUGCAAGUGUGUUCUAGGUUUGUCGUCUCUGUACGAAAUCAGAGUCUGUGUGGAUGAGAACUGCUCAGCCACCUGAAUGACUGAUGGGGAAAUAGAAUGAGUAAUGGGGCAGAAACUGACAUAGCCACAUUGUCAGCUAUGGUCCCCUCUGAUGGCUCUAAGGGUCAGAAAUUCCUGCGCCCCCUGCUGGUCCCUCAGUCAGGUUUUUGGCUUCCUCCCCAGGAGCCUUCCGGGUCUUCCUUUCUUGCUGCCCUGUCCUGGAAUGGCUGCUUCAUGGUUUGCAGCAUUUUUGCCUUUGAACCUAAUGGGGAGCUGCUUUCCUGCUCCACCUCAAGUGUUUCUUCCUUCCUGACAGAUACUCCUGAGUCUCACCAGAUUCUAAAAGCCCAGGACGUGUACCUCCCAAUGGAUGCUGCUCAGGAUUGGAAGUGGCAGCCUUUCCUGAAUGCUUGCUUGCCUGCCUCCCCUAGAGAGGCUUCCUCCCUCACAUUUCUCAAUGCUGAGCCAUACCUUCAUUGGGCCUCUGAGUUUGGCCACCCUCCUUUCCCAACCAGCCCUCCAUUCCACUUCAGACAGACCAGGAGUAUUCUCAGUUUUUCUCUACACACUCUGUCCAGUUGGGGCAUUUUGAUUGCUCAGUGUUCAUUAUCUACCCUCAGCAUCCAUUCCCUCCCACCGUCCCCGCCCCCAGCACCUGCUGCUAGGCCUUUUGCUGUGUCUGUUGUCUCUCAGUUGUAUUGGCCUUAGGAGACUGAAAGCACCCAUAGGUUGAAAGCUUUAACUCCCAUAAAGCUAGGACAGUGCCAUUCUCCCUAGGGGCAUUCAAGGACCUUUCUGAACGCUGUGUCUCUCCUGAGGAAACCUCACACCCACUUCCUCGGAGCUCUCCUGGGUGUGGCAGGCCCAACUUGGCUGGAGCCAAGACUGUCAUUGUCAGGUCACCGCAGGAGGGGAGGGGCUUUGAUUUCCCAGGAGAUUGGGUCAAAGUGGGAGCCCGAUGGAAGAUGAGACCCCUAGGUGUUCUCCUUCCAUCACACCGUGGAGAGACUCAAACGGGAUUUGGAGCAUACGGACCCAGAGACAACCUCAAGUCUCAUGAUGGUUCUACCCCAUUAUCUGCCCCUAUUCCUCCCCAAGGCCGCUUGCCUCCCUGGUUCCCAGCCCGGCGCCAGAUUCUGGCGUGACCUCGGGCGGCGCCCAGUGCUGCUGUGGACAGCUCAUUCCGCUGCGAAGACGGCCGCGCCCUGCGUGUCCCGGCGCCACCAGGGGGCGAAUGCGGUGCCCGGCGGUUCCUGGGGCCCCGGCGCGGCCGCACGGCGCUCGGGAAGGUCCGGCGGGGUAAGACGCUGCCUUCGGCGACCUCCAACCCGACCCUCAGGCGCGCCUCAUUGCUUGGGGCUCCCAGGCCAGGGGAUGGGAUGCGGCCACGUCUCCCCGGUGUCGGGGCACAGUGUGCGCGGGGGCAGAGCGGGCUCUUGGCGCUACCUCCCGCCCAUCCGGCCCCCUUGGCUGCCUGGGCCCAGCCUCGCGGUCGCCCACACCUCGAAGCCGGAGGCCGAGUAGGCCGCAUCCCGGGCGCCGCGAGCCGAGGACGCUGGAAUGUCAGGAGGGGUGAAGAAAGACGCAGCUUGCACCCCCGCUCUCUUCUCACCCCUCGACAGAGGACGGGAGGGCCAGUCUCUGCCGGGUGCGAGGGGCGGACCCCGCGCCCGUUGCUGGCGGCUCUGCGGCUCUCGGGCGCGGCGCGCACCUGUUAGCGCGGGCCUCCGCCUGCAGCCCCGGAGCGCGCGCGGCCUCCCGCGGCAUAGGCCACCCGGGGACAGUAGCCUCCCAACAUGGAACCGAUCAGCUUUAGGUUGUAAAGGAAAAUAACCGGGGAUGGGGGGUGGGUGGGAAGAGGGGUGGGUAGAGGGUGAAAGGGGUGAGUUUACAGUUACAUUCCAGGGCUGCUCCCUGAAUCGCCUGGAUGUUGCAGCUAACACCCCAGCAGUUCACGACAGUUCCAGGCCCGCAUUAGACAGACGGGUAAGAGGUUCUUUUCAUGGAGAGAUACCGUGGAAUAACAAAUCAACCGUUAUGGAAACUGCCAGUGUAGGAGGUGGGGAGCAGGAGGUGCUCUCACUGUGUCCACACUAACCUUCAUCUUCCUAGGUAUUUCUGUUGAUGAAGAAAUCCUUCCUUUCCAAAAAUGAAGUCAGGCUAAGAUUUCAUUUUAAAGGGAGUCCUUGAAGUAGCACAUCUCUGCUUGUGUGCUGAUCCGAUCCUCACGUUUUUUUUUUUUUUUUUUUUUUGGUUCAGUUGGUUUAGUAAUUCCUCGAGUUAAAGGAUAAAUUAACUCUCAAGUCUCACGUAAGCAUCAGUUUUAUGUCCAAGAAUUCAGAAUAGCUUUCCAUCUUGGGAAUGUCAUGUCAAAUCUGAAUCAACCUGUAUUCUGAUUCAUAGCUGAUCAGGUAGACACUCAAAUCCUUGAGGGAGGGAGAGGAUCCUGAAUAAGGAAGGGUGCUCCACUGCACUCUGGGAAGUCCACAAGAGACUUGGCCUCCCAAGCAGCUUUGAGACAGUAUUAAAGUCAAGUAUGGUCCCUGCCAUCCUAAUAGCACCACUCUGCAUGUUUACCUGCCUGUGGCAGAUGCAGAAUCAGUAGAGAAUGACAAACAAUGAUAAAGAAUUCUAGAAUGUUUAGAGCAUAUGGGCGGUGGGGGGGGGGGGGAGCAGCGAGAGGAGAAGGCAGUUUAGUGGAAGGGCUCAUCCCUGACAGAACGUCUCUCCACAGGAGGCUAUAAUGUCCUUAAUGGUCACUCAAGUCUCCUGGCCAGCUUAGUGGUGACAGACUUCAACUUGUCCUCCAUCAGGAGGAGUUAGGGUUUGGAACUUGUAAUUAAAACUUCUAAGACAGGAGAAUAGGUUUUUGUACACUAAUAUUUGCUCACUGCCCUUCUCAGGUAGCCUCCAUACCCCUGGCCCUCUGACUCAUUUUCAAGGUCUAGCUGGGAUAGACCCCCAUCCCUCAGUAGAGUGGCAGGACUGAGGCAGCAGAGCUCCAGGCUUGGGACCCUUCCAACAGCACAGGCAUCCCAGAUGCAGGCGUCUGCUUGGAUUGUGUUUCUCUUCUGCUCCACAGUCUAGCUUGGAUCUGGGUGGGGUGGGCUAUCCUGCUUCCAGGUAAACCAGAAGACUGCUGUGUGAAGGAUUUGUACAGAGAUGCAAGAAGCAGCCCGGUAGCCCAGCCCUCCACAGACUGGCUUGGUUAAAGUUGAGAAUCCCUCUGCUCCCCUGAGCCUGUGGGCAAGAGUCCUCAGAAAGGCAAGCUCCUCAUCACAGUGGGAAUACCAUCCGCACCAUGGCUGAAGGAUGGGAAGGUAUUCUGUAUGGUACUGGGAACUUGAAGUCAGCCUUAAAGAGCAACAAUGUGGCCAGAAUCACCAAGUGCACUGAGUCUUUGUGUAUAGUCUCUUUUUUUCCCUAGAGACGGCUCCAGGGUGGCUCCAGGGUGGUCUGUCGGGGAAUGGGAGUCCCUCUGCAGACAUAUAAGUACCCAUGCCAAAACAACACAGCCUGUAGUGGUGAGGCAGCCUUUAAACUUAGUUUGCUUCUCUUAUUACAACCCAGGCAUCCCUCCCAAGCCAUCCCUCCUGCUCCUCAGCAUAUGGAAGUAGUGUGCAAAAAGGAAUGGCAGUUGCUACCUUGGAUCCCAGGGGCCCUGUUCCUCCCUUAUCUUAGUUCAUUCAACUUCUCUAUAAGGUAUUGUAGGUGUUAAACAGAUUCAUUGUCAGACUGGGCAGCACUGAAGAAUCCUGAGUAAGUGCUGGGAAGACAACAAAACCAACCAACCAACCAACCAAACCUUAAUGUUUAACUCGGAGCUAAAUGCAUGAUUAUUAUUUAAUCCUUUUAGAUUAAUUAGUUAUUUAACCCUAUUUAUUUAGCCCUUGCAAGUCUCUAAGAGAUGUGUAUUGUUGUUAUUCAACUUUUUGUAGCUUAGGAAAUAAGGCUUAGUGUGGUGGCAUAUGCCUUUAAUCCCAGCACUCAGGAGGCAGAGGCAGGUAGAUCUCUGAGUUCCAGGCUAGCUUGGUCUACAAAGGAAGUUAAAGGAAACCCAGGACUAUACAGAGAAACUCAGUCUCUACAGGUGGGUGGGUUGUUGUUCAAGAUCACCCAGCCCGUUGGCUUCUGGGGUUCAUGAUUUCUAUUCCUCCAUCAUCCUAACCCCCGGGUCCCUGUGCAUGGGAGGGGCAUUGGAGAAAAAGAAUGAGUGUAUUGGCCAUCCUCUGCCUUUCCCCCACAUCCUUCUACUCUCUCGGAGUUGGUCUCCUUCCCUCUGAAUGAGGUCACUUAAAGGUGGCCAGCAGUCCCUCUAGGUGUUGUUGGGUAGAGCAGCGAUGGGUUAUCAGCUCUCGGAUUCCAUGCUUCUGGUGGCUGACCUCCCCACCUACCUGGCUACAUGCCUCUACCCUGGACCUAACUAGUGACCUCCCAACAGCCCCAGCACCUAGCAGGUAAGCAACCGAGGACCCAUAAACCUGGAGGUAGCCUCUAACCCAGCACUAACUCAGCACAGCCGAGUGAGAACAAGGAAAGGGAGGGGUGUCCUGUGGGAGAGACCACUCUCCGUCCUUACACCCACCUUCACACAGCAUGUGACAAAGGGAUGGGGAAACAGGAGGGAAAAGAAGCCUUGCCUGGGGCAAUGUUAGCUGUGGGAAAGGAGUCUCCCCUGUCCCUGUUCCCUACCCAUCACCCACAGCUCCUUGUGUGCUCUUAAAGGUUCCAGAUUUGACCACUAUUCUCUGCAUGGUUCUCUUUUGGGCACCCACCACUCAGGGUCUUAUAUACUGGGACCAAAGACGAGACCUGCUCUAUCUUGGCCAAUAGCGGUUGUGAGAUGAAACAGAUACUUGAGAGAGCAAGUAUGCUGGGAACAACAUAAUGACGGCCACUUGAAGUAAAAGUCCCUGUACUUAGGACAGAUGCGGAAGAUAGUCAGACCAUUUGAAGGAGGGGAAGAGGGAAAGAAAGCAGCAGAGCUGCCUUGGGGGAGUCGAAGGGAAAGCCUAAUCAGCAAGGCAAGGCCCACGGACUGAUAGGUGCAGUUUUCCCUGCAGAAGGGCCCCUUUAAGCAUGAGUCUUUUGAAGCUGCAGUAAUAGGGUCGGUGGCGUAGACAGAGUCAAGAAGAGAGAUGAGUAGGUAAGAAGUCAAGGCCCAGGGGCAGGACCUGUGGAUUUCCAAGCCUGGGGAAGCAGGGACAGCCAGAACCUCCCACGGUCUCCUGGACCUCGCUGCGAACCAGCCGGGGAACAUUCCAGCCUAAUCGCUGCUCAGAUCGGUAGCAGCAGAGGCCAAGCCUUAGAAUUUGGCGCCUGCCGGCCCGCGAGUUCGCUCGCUAGGGGCAACCCAGCUGACCCAAGUGGGGACUUCGGAAACCCUUCAAUAGCUGGAGGCCCAUGGGGUUUCCCCUGUCUUCAGAUCCGGGGGA